GAGAGCACAGUACGAUGAAAGUUGUAAGCUGUGUUCGGGGGGGAG
rfam:Hordeum vulgare subsp. vulgare, WGS project CAJW01000000 data, contig: morex_contig_1532810